UUAAAGAGUUUCCCAAGUUCAAUUAAUACAAUAUUAUAAACAUACAAAUGUAAUAAAAAUUAUUGUUCGCGAAUAUUCAAUUUGGAAUGCGAUUUUGUUAAUAAAAAAAAUACUUAUAACUUAUGCAAAACCCAAGAGAGGCAUUUAUAUUUAUUUCUUUUGCGUUCAUUUUCAAAUUCGCCGUGCAUAUAUUUUUGUGCAUGGCGCUUGAGAGGGCAUCACGUGACUAAAAACGACCAACCAACGACCUCGCUUCGGCCAUCUUGGCAUCUUCAUCUUGGCCACCUUGCUUUGCCGUGGGUGGAUCGUUGUUUGUAUUAUUUGUGCUUUUUAAGAAUAUUUUUUUAAUUCGGAUACUUUUAUAAUAGCUUUAAUAGUAUUAUUAACAUAGUGAAUAAAAUGGUGUCCUGUUUUUAACGCAGUUGGAGUAGCAGAAACAAAUGUAGAUAAAAAAAUCUGCAUGAAUAACGUUUCAAUUAUGACAGAAGCUCCAAACAAAUGACUGUGAAUGAAAAGCUCUAUUAAAAGCUUUCCAGAAGAUCCUGCGAAGAAGACAUGAAGUAUAGAUCAGAUUUGUUAAUAGAGGAGUAUGUUCAAAACACUUUUUAGAAAAAGAUAUUGACAGAACUUCACUUUCAUCUGUUCAUUUAAGAGACUGUGCUGUUCCAAUAGCUUAUGUCACACAGAAUCAGCUGAGAGAAGUGGUCUACAAAAAAACAGACAGGAAACGGAAUAUGUGGCUACGAAAAGCAAAAGAAAGGUUUACAAAGCAAAUGUGACACAUUUUUUUAUAAUAUUUAGGAAUGUCAGUAAAUUACAUUAAAAAAUGUAUGUAAAGAUUUUUUGCAAUAAAAAUGUUUAUAUUUAUCAA